GAUGAAGAACGCAGCGAAAUGCGAUACGUAAUGUGAAUUGCAGAAUUCAGUGAAUCAUCGAAUCUUUGAACGCAUAUUGCGCUCUCUGGUAUUCCGGAGAGCAUGCUUGUUUGAGUAUCAGUAAACACCUCAACUUCCAUAUCUUUUUUGAAAUGGGAGUUGGACUUGAGUGAUCCCAACGCUUUUCCUCACCGAAAAGUGGCGGGUUACUUGAAAUGCAGGUGCAGCUGGACUUUUCUCUGAGCUAUAAGCAUAUCUAUUUAGUCUGCCUAAAAAACAGAUUAUUACCUUUGCUGUAGCUAACAUAAAGGAGAUUAGUUCUUGUGCUGACUGAUGCAGGAUUCACAAAGACAGGCUUCGGCCGACUUUGUAAACUCGAUCUCAAAUCAAGUAAGACUACCCGCUGAACUUAAGCAUAUCAAUAAGCGGAGGA
rnacentral:misc_RNA from 1 species